rnacentral:pre_miRNA from 1 species
AUCACCUGGGGUCUUGUUAAAAUACACAUUCUGAUUCAGUAGGUCUGGAGUGGAGCCUGAGAUUGUGCAUUUCUAACAAGCUCCCAGGUGAUACUGG